GUUCGAGAAGCCAUGAUUAUUUCUUUAUCUCAGAAGAGGAUAUAUUAAUAGGAACUUCCAAAACUAAAAAACAAAGAGAACAAAGACUGAAAAAAUCAGCACAGAAUGUCCAAGGAUUGUGGGACAACUACAAAAGACGGAGUCUCGCUCUGUUGCCACUUGUGAUCUCGGCUCACUGCAAUCUCUGACUCCUGGGUUCAAGCGAUUCUCCUGCCUCAGCCUCCCGAGCAGCUGGGAUUACAGGCGCGCGCCACCACGCCCAGCUAAUUUUUGUAUUUUUAGCAGAGACGGCGUUUCACCAUGUUGAUCAGGUUGGUCUCGAACUCCUGACCUCGUGAUCCGCCUGCCUCAGCCUCCCAAAGUGCUGGGAUUACAGGCGUGAGCCACUGCGCCCGGCCAGGAAGUAUCUUAUUUUUAGAAAAAGAGAAAAUUCUGUUAUAAUUAAUAUUAUAUUAAAAUCCAAUAAAAAGGAAAUUAUUUCUGGAGAUGAAGCAACUAUUUAUUUUAUUUAAUAUUUUCAAUUCAAAAUAGUGUGCAUACUUUGAAGUUGCUGUAAUAGAUGUGUAUUUCUUAAGAACAUAGUUCACCUUCAUAAAAAUCA
rnacentral:lncRNA from 1 species